AAUCCGCCUGCUGCUCAGGGCCCUCCUCAGGGUGCCCAGCUCUCCACCAGCGGCUCCAUCGUCGGCUUGGGACGCAGAUGGCCUCAGAGGUCACCACCGGGGAGCGCAGGGAGGGGUCCACUGAGUGUCCAGGUCCUUGGGGGCCGCUCAGGGCUCGGCUGCCCUUCAUUCCCCCGCUGUGCUCACACACCCAGUGCUCACCCGCUGCAUCAGAACCCUGCUCCGCAGGAUACGGCCCUGCCGUCCUGCGGACGCUGCGUCCCCAGCGCCCACAGCAGAAACCGAGGGUUGUUGGUGCCGCGGUGGUCGAUGUCAUGGCACAGGCCGGCUGUCACCAUGGCGAAGGCCUCCAGGAACCGCACCAGGACCUGGGGGAGCCGAGAGGACACAGGGCUCCGGCGGCAAGCGUGUAAGUCCCGCCAGAGCGGCACCUGUGGCUGACUUCACAGUGGAAGCCCUGCUCCGUGCCAUCAUCCCCACACCGUCUCCUGGACUUCCCGAUCUUCCCCAUCCCUGCGUUUCCCACUGGCCUCUGCUGGCCUUCCUGGGUAGGGGCUGCCACAUUGGCACCUAUGGGGUGGAGCCAGGUAGGGCAGGAGCUGAGAACAGCCCCAGCCUUCAGGGGCCGCCCAGCCUCCAUCCGACUGCCUGGCCUCAAGCUGGGAGGAGGACCCCUGGGGAUGCAGCAUAUUUUAAGAUGUUGGUUUUAGGCAUGGACAUUUGAAUGAGCAGAAUGUGUGGGCUGCAGGCUGGGGUGGGAGAACCGAUGUCCGCAGGGCAAGAGAAUGCUGGUCUCUCUUGCCCUGCGGACAUCGCCAGGAGGCUCUUCCUGCGGCCAUUGUGAUUUUUAGGGUCAGAAAAUUAUUUGGAAAUAUUUUUUAUUCUGCAAAUAUUUUCUAUACAUUUUUUCUUGAGUGUUUUCCCUUAGUAUUUAGUAAAACUUCUUUUGAAAAUGCUGGCCUGCUGCACCUGUUCUCAGAGGGGCAUGAGAAAAGAGGAUUCUCUUCCUAGGGCUGUGGGAAGCCCCUUGAGAUGUUGGAAGCAGGGCAGGGCAGGAGAACCCAGGGAGGGCACAGAGCUGUGGACGAGGGCUGGGAAAGCCAUCCCGCCUCCCCAGGGGGUCUCCGAGGAGUGCUGCUGUGGCCAAACCAGGGGGGCCACUUUGUGCUUUCUGUUUAGGUGAUGGGAUGCUUCUAUCUCCUCAGCACCCCACACCAAAUCCCCUGUUAUUGCCAGAUGAUGUGCCUAAUGAUCAAAUUGCUUGGAACUCCUAAUAAUAAAACUUUAAAUCUAUCCAUUCACCAUCCAUCUGCUGUCCACCCAUCCAUUCACCCAUUCAUUGACCCAUCUAUUAAUUCAUUAAUUGACCCACCUACUCAUCUAUCACUCAUCCACCCACUUCUCCAUCCAUCCACCUAUCCAUUCACUUAUCCAACCAUCUAACUACCAUUGGCCCACUCACCCAUCCAUCCAUUUAUCCAACCAUCCAACUACCAUUGGCCCACCCACCCAUCCAUUUAUCCAACUAUCCAACUACCAUUGGCAUCCACCCAUCCAUUCAUUUAUUCUUCCUUUGUUUCUUUCUGCUUGCCUGUUGGCCUUCCUUCCUUCCUAACCUCCCUCCUUCCUCCCUGCUUUUCACCCAUCCAGCCAUCCAUCAAUCCAGCCAUCCACCCAGCCAUCCAAUUAUUUGUUUUAUGCUUACUUCCCGUGUGCAUUUUACCUGUUCUGUGAUGAACAUGUCGGCCCUCUAAACUUCCUGUGGGAUCUGGAACCCCCAAUCCCAUCCCCCUCACCUUCUGGGGCACCUGAGGCCCUGAUCACAUCCCCACCCCCAUGUCCUGGGCGGCCUCAGGGACCUGACUAUGCGCCCUGCGGUGUCUCCCACCUCCUGGGGGAUCUGGAACUUUCGGACCACGCCCAGCUCGUAGUACAUCUGGAUGCCACAUUUGACCAGGUCCAGUUCGGUGCACUCCAGAUCCCCUGCCAAGCCUCAGACACCUCAGGCAUCUCUGAGGAGAUGUGUCAUUCCUGGCGCUCCAGCCUGUAUCCCAGGCUGCUCACACGCCCCCCUGGCUCAGCCUCACUCUCCCCUCUUGUACCCUGUGGCCCAACAGUGAAGAACUUGCCCAGUUGGGUGGACAGGGUGAUGUUGUUGAGACAAGAAAACACAAAGGUGUGCACAUGAAAAGAAACACACACACACACGGAUACAGACACACGUGACACAGGCACACCUGGAUACACGGCCACUCCCAUGAAUACAAAGGCACCGGUGUGGACACACAGGCACACACAUGAGCACCCAGGCACACCCACAGACAUGCAGGCACACACGUGCAGACUCACGCAUGUAGGCUCACACACACAGCCAUGAGGUAACACACACAACAGUGGACUUUCAGACCCACCAGGCACAUUCCCAUGCUCAGUCCAAGGCCUACUCACAAGGCUCGUGGCCCCGGGAGAUUCUGGCUAAAUUGCAUAGGCAGACACAGGGUGAUGGGGACACCACAUAAUCCCCACAUUGAUCCAGCAAUCGUCUCUAGGAGACACACACAAGCAUGUGUCUAUAUAUAUCCAUGUGCACACACAUGCACACACAAUACACACCCCCUGUGCACAUGUGAGCACACACACAUGGGUGCACACACGGGCACACACACACAAACGCCCAUGUGCACACACAUGCACACACAUACUCGUGGGCACACAUGUGCACACACAUGUGUACACAUGUGCACAUUCAUACAAUGCACACACGCACACACAUACCCACAUGUGCACACACACACCCACAUGUGCACACAUGUACACACCUGUGCAGACGCCCACGUGUGCACACACACCUACAUGCACACACACGUACACACUUGUGCACACACAGACACCCACAUGUGCACACACAUGCACACAGACACCCAUGUGCGUGCACACAUGCGGAUGCACACACACUGGGAGUUGCAGGCACCUAGGCACUCUGAGAGCAGAGAUGACAUAGAUGGACACAGAGUCCAAGUCAGGCCCACUAAACAUCCGGUGAAAACUAAACAUCUGGCAAAGCACAGAGGAGACAGGAAGACACGAAGAUACACUCAGGAGUGCAGACAUCAAAGCCACAUUCUGGCCAUGCAAACACACUCAGGGACACACUGGCUGAGACUGAAAGCCAGGCUUAUGUACACACACGUACACUAAGGUGCUUAGAUACACAAGUAUACACACACAGCACCAACAUCCCUGAUGACCGUGUGUGCAAAGCACCGUCGGGUCCCGGAGAAUGCAGAACUCUUCCUCCCAGCCUCACACGUGGCCGGCCUCCAUGGGAGGGACGGGAGCAAGGUUCUUACCAGGAUUUCGCCCAGCUCGUCCUCAUCGCAGUCAGCAGGCUCCUUCCCCAGGCGCGCUCUGGUUGGCUACACAGAGACACAGAUGUGUCACGAGAAAGAGCUUCGCAUGUGGGACAAGCCAUGACCCCUGGUGACCUGUCCCCACCGCACAGCUGUGACCCCUGGUGACCUGCCCCCGCCGCAGAGCCAUGACCUCUGGGUGACCCCUGGAUGGACCCCUGGACGACCUGCCCCCACCACACAGCCGUGACCCCUGGAUGACCUGCCCCCACCGCACAGCCAUGACCCCUGGCCAUGACCCCUGGGUGACCCCUGGACGACCUGCCCCUGCCGCACAGCCGUGACCCCUGGGUGACCCCUGGACGACCUGCCCCCGCCGCACAGCCAUGACCCCUGGCCGAGACCCCUGGGUGACCCCUGGACGACCUGCCCCUGCCACACAGCCGUGACCCCUGGGUGACCCCUGGACGUCCUGCCCCGCCGCACCAGGAUGAGCUGGAUCUCGUCCCUGUCGCACUUCACGUGGUAAAGGACCAUGUCCUGUGCGAUGUCCUUGCGGUUCUCCAGCUUGUUCAUCUUGUCGUAGGUGUCGGUGUUCAUCACUGACCAGCCCAGGAACUGUGUCAGGGACUGGAGGGGAUGGCAGUGUCACUGGCGCUCAGCGCUCCCGGCGCGCCCCCUCCCAUGUGCCUGUGUGCCAGGCCCCGUGGCUCGGCGGGCAGGUCCUGGGGCUGCCACCAUGGUGUCGCAGUGCUUCUGUGUGGGGUCUCCCGGGUGCUCUGCAGAGGCUCCUGCUCCCGGGGGGGCCCUUUGUCGUCCUCUCCCUGGCCGCAUGCAUACCGCACACACAUGAGCACACGCACACAGCCGAAUGCUUGGCGGGGAGGCCCCCACACCGCACAGGCCCCACCCCUCGCAGGGCAUCCCCGGCGGAACCACGUCUGCCCAGGUGCUUACCUCCAUGAGAACCUCGUCCUGUUCGUCAAAGGGCUUCCCGUCUUUCCUGUUGUAAAAUGUGGCGACUCCCACAAUCUCCUCCUUCUUGUUGACGAUGGGCAUGGACAGCACAUUCUUGAUGAGCCACCCGGAGUCGUCCAGGGCCCCUUCCUGCGGGAGCGGUGUCCAGAGCUGAGCUCCGCCCUGAGGCUGGCCCUGGCCCGGGCGUGUGGCCGGGGAGAGUGACCUCAUGUCUUCUCCCCUAGAGCCGUGACGGCUGGGCUCGUGUUCCUGUCUCUGCUCUCUGCAUUCCCUCUCUCCCUCUCUGCAUUUGGAGUUUGUGUCCAUGGUUUUUGUGUCAUGAUAUUUUCCCACCGGAGGAGGUAGAGGCCGUUUUCCCACCAGGAGUGGUUUCAUGGGCAUGUGUGUGGGGCGGCGGUCACGGCCUCGCAGGGGUGUGUGGGGGCCGCGGUCACGGCCUCGCAGGGGUGUGUGGGGGCCGCGGUCACGGCCUCGCAGGGGUGUGUGGGGGCCGCGGUCACGGCCUUGCGGGCGUGUGUGGGGGCUGUGGUCACAGCCCCAGGUGAUCCACCCGCCUCAGCCUCCCAAAGUGCUGGGAUUACAGGCGUGAGCCACCAUGCCUGGCUGAAGUUGUUUUUUAAGUGGCAAAAACGAAUUCACUUCAUCAUCGCUGAAUCAAAAUCUCCUCUUUUGUAAGUAAGUAUAAUUUCUACCAAGGCACAGACAGAUACCUGAAAUUUGAACAUUUCGUCAGCGGAAGCAUUCAUGAUGUUACAAAUCUGAAAAAGCAUCAGAAAAACGAUUUCAUCCAAAACAGCGGAAGGUCUGUUAUGAUCUAAAAUGGCCUCUGUGGCCCUGAGGUGAGCUUUUAAGUAGGUAAAGCAGGGCAGCUGGGGGCUUCACUGAGGCACGUGGAGCUGGCCGGGAGGGCGGGACGUGGCAGAGACAAGGAGAAGCACACAUCGCCGCACCCAGUGAGGGCAAGGCUGUGGGGACUCCAGACAGCACGGGACUCACAAAGCCGCUUUCUGCCACGUAGCUUGGAAGGCCGCUGGCCAGGGCCCAGUGAUCGGCUGAGGGUGUGCUGUGGGCAGAGAGCAGGGGUCAGAUAGGCCACGCCGGGCUGGAUGUGCGCGUGCAGGAGUCAGAGGGACUGGAUGUCUGUGUGCAGGGGUGAGAGGGGCUGGUCUAGGCUGCACGUGUGUGUGCAGGGGUCAGAGGGGCUGGUCUGGGCUGCACGUGUGUGUGCAGGGGUCAGAGGGGCCAGGCUGCGCUGGAUGUAGGUGUACUGGGGUCAGAUGGACUGGGCGUGUGUGCAGGGGUCUGGGGGUCUCUGGCUCAUGUGCCAUCCUCAGCAUUUACUCUCUUCUCUGAGUGCCAGGGGGUUCAGGAGGCGAGGAGGCCAGGGCGUGGGUUGGAGGACGGCUGUGCUGCCUUCUUCCUCCUCCCCAGGCUGCCGUGCUGGGGCCCCUCCCUCUUGGGAACCCCUCCCUCUCCGGAGGCCGUAUGGCUUCAGCCUGCUUUCUAGGACUCAGCGUUGGUGCCUGCCCUGCCACCCUGACCCUGACUUGUGCUCAAGCCUGGCACCUGGAUCCUGGUUCCUGCUUGGGGCCUGGGGAUGGGGUCCCAAUAGGCUUAUGGGAUCACAGGGCCACUGGGCCACCAGCUGCCCCUCCCUUGGCUGGAGUCCUGCCCUGACCUCCGGACUGGAGUUCCCCUCCUCUUCCAGCCCCACGGGGCCAAGACUCGGCCUCCUGGCUGGAGGCUCCACUGUCUGGGUGGGGCUGGUGGUGCCAGGGUCAAAUCCUGGGGCCUUCAUGCUCAAUUGUUGCUGACGAGGCCGCCUGGACAGCUUGCCUGGUCCCCUGUAUGUCCACUCUGGAUGUCCACAGUGACUCGGGCUCCUCAGCAGCCCACGUCCUCCUCACCAUCUCCCAGAACAGCGUGCGUGGGCCCGAGUACGGCUGGGACUCUCCCAUCAGCACAGACCACACGUCAAAAAAUUCCUGGGCAGAGAAGAGGAGGCCCACGGAGUACCGCUCGCAGUUGAGGUAGGCCCGCACCGUGUAGAAGGCCUUGUGGAACUGCCUCUCGAUGUCCGUCAGCUCCUCAAACACCUUGUUGGCCGACCACAGCAGCACCUGGAGGGAGGGGCACACCUGUGGGCCUGUGGCCACUCCCACCCUCACGCCGGUCUGACCACAGCAGCAGGGGUUUAACUCAAGCCUGACACAGGUGCGCUCCCUGAUCUGACCACCUGCCCAGCCGUGGAGCCUGGCACAGACCCUGAUUGGUGGCUCCGUGGCCAGGUUUCAUCUGAGCUUGUGGGGCCCGGGAGCUGGCUGGCGGUGAGGCCUCGAGGCUGCGGUCGUGUCCCUGAUCACUCAGGAGUGGACGAGUGGAAAGUGGAAUCUGUCGCUUUGAGCUUGACAGGCAAACAUCCGACCAGCCCUUCCUCCGCCCGGCUGCUCCAGAACCACCUGCGGCGAGCAGGGCUUUGAGAACAUCGGGCCGUGGUUUCCGCACGUCAGGCCGCCUGUGGCCUCCGCCAAGCGUCUGAGAGUGAAGCAUUGCUGACGCACUCCACGAGGUCCUGGCCAGACCCCACUCAGGACAUCCCGCUGCACAGGCCCCUGGUUGCUGGGUCAGCGCUGCCACCAGGCUCAGACUCACCCCAGGGCCCUCCUUGGGCCACCUUUCUCUGCCUCCUUGGUCAAGGCCCAGACCCAGGCCCCACCAGGCCCUGCCUCCUCACACUCGCGGCGGCCGCUGGGUCUUCUACCGCAUGGUGCCAGCUCCCUCUCCUCCGCUGCGGUGUCCUAGCCCAGCUCUCUCCCUGCCAGGCCCUCUGAAGUUCCACCCCCUGGCACUCAGCUCAUGGUGGGAACAGGACCAGGCUCUCCUGUUGCCAAGGGCAGUGAGAUGUUCGUAGCUUUAUUUCCCAGUACAUUGAUUUUACUGAUUUUAGUUUAUCUUCAGUUGAAUAAUUGUGUGUAUUGAUGGGGUUUAUGUUUUAUGGGGUUUGGCGUGAUGUUCUGAUGUAAGUAUUUGUUGCAGAAAGAUUCAAUUAAGCUAAUCAACAUAUCCAUCACCUCACCAACUUGUUUUUUUUGUGGUGAGAACAUUACAAGUCUAUUUUCUAGCAAUUUGGUAUACAAUACAGUCAUCCCUCGGCAUCCUCAGGGAAAUUGGUUCCAGGACGCCGCUCUGAUAACAAAAUCCGAGGAUGUUCAAGUCCCGGAUGUGAAAUGGCCUAGAGUUUGUACAGAGGUUGCACACGCACCCCCAGGACUUCAAAUCAUCUCCGAUGACUUAGCACCCAGUGCAAGGCAAGGCCAUGAAAACGGCUGUUCUACUGUAUUGUUUUACAUUCUUAUUCUUAUUUUUAAUUUAAAACUUUUCCCACAUCAUAAAUCCUCGGAAG
rnacentral:lncRNA from 1 species